GGCGGCAGGCCUAACACAUGCAAGUCGAGCGGUAGAGAGAAGCUUGCUUCUCUUGAGAGCGGCGGACGGGUGAGUAAUACCUAGGAAUCUGCCUGAUAGUGGGGGAUAACGUUCGGAAACGGACGCUAAUACCGCAUACGUCCUACGGGAGAAAGCAGGGGACCUUCGGGCCUUGCGCUAUCAGAUGAGCCUAGGUCGGAUUAGCUAGUUGGUGAGGUAAUGGCUCACCAAGGCUACGAUCCGUAACUGGUCUGAGAGGAUGAUCAGUCACACUGGAACUGAGACACGGUCCAGACACCUACGGGAGGCAGCAGUGGGGAAUAUUGGACAAUGGGCGAAAGCCUGAUCCAGCCAUGCCGCGUGUGUGAAGAAGGUCUUCGGAUUGUAAAGCACUUUAAGUUGGGAGGAAGGGCAGUUACCUAAUACGUGAUUGUCUUGACGUUACCGACAGAAUAAGCACCGGCUAACUCUGUGCCAGCAGCCGCGGUAAUACAGAGGGUGCAAGCGUUAAUCGGAAUUACUGGGCGUAAAGCGCGCGUAGGUGGUUUGUUAAGUUGAAUGUGAAAUCCCCGGGCUCAACCUUGGAACUGCAUCCAAAACUGGCAAGCUAGAGUAUGGUAGAGGGUAGUGGAAUUUCCUGUGUAGCGGUGAAAUGCGUAGAUAUAGGAAGGAACACCAGUGGCGAAGGCGACUACCUGGACUGAUACUGACACUGAGGUGCGAAAGCGU
rnacentral:rRNA from 1 species